UACGAAGGGGGCUAGCGUUGCUCGGAAUCACUGGGCGUAAAGGGUGCGUAGGCGGGUCUUUAAGUCAGGGGUGAAAUCCUGGAGCUCAACUCCAGAACUGCCUUUGAUACUGAGGAUCUUGAGUUCGGGAGAGGUGAGUGGAACUGCGAGUGUAGAGGUGAAAUUCGUAGAUAUUCGCAAGAACACCAGUGGCGAAGGCGGCUCACUGGCCCGAUACUGACGCUGAGGCACGAAGCGUGGGAGCAAACAGG
rnacentral:rRNA from 1 species